rnacentral:misc_RNA from 1 species
CGCAGCCGCGGUAAUUCCAGCUCCAAUAGCGUAUAUUAAAGUUGUUGCAGUUAAAAAGCUCGUAGUUGAAUUUCGGGAUCAAAGGAUCGGUCAUGCCUUGGUAUGUACUGGUUUUAUUGGUUCUCACCUUCUAAAGAACCAUAAUGUCAUUCAUUUGAUGUUAUGGGGAAUUAGGACUGUUACCUUGAAAAAAUUAGAGUGUUUAAAGCAGGCUUACGCUUGAAUACAUUAGCAUGGAAUAAUGAAAUAGGACAUCAGAUUCUAUUUUGUUGGUUUCUAGGAUCGAUGUAAUGAUUAAUAGGGAUAGUUGGGGGCAUUAGUAUUCAAUUGUCAGAGGUGAAAUUCUUGGAUUUAUUGAAGACUAACUACUGCGAAAGCAUUUGCCAAGGAUGUUUUCAUUAAUCAAGAACGAAAGUUAGGGGAUCGAAGACGAUCAGAUACCGUCGUAGUCUUAACCAUAAACUAUGCCGACUAGGGAUCGGAUGAUGUUAAUUUAUAAUGACUCAUUCGG